rnacentral:rRNA from 1 species
UACGGAGGGUGCAAGCGUUAUCCGGAAUCAUUGGGUUUAAAGGGUCCGCAGGCGGAUUUAUAAGUCAGUUGUGAAAGCCUGAUGCUUAACAUCAGAACUGCCAUUGAUACUGUAAGUCUUGAAUUCGAUCGAAGUGGGCGGAAUAUGACAUGUAGCGGUGAAAUGCUUAGAUAUGUCAUAGAACACCGAUAGCGAAGGCAGCUCACUAGGUCUGGAUUGACGCUCAGGGACGAAAGCGUGGGGAGCAAACAGG